GGGGGGACGCAGUAGGAUAGGCGAAGCGUGCGAUUGGAUUGCACGUCUAAGCAGUAAGGCUGAGUAUUAGGCAAAUCCGGUACUCGUUAAGGCUGAGCUGUGAUGGGGAGAAGACAUUGUGUCUUCGAGUCGUUGAUUUCACACUGCCGAGAAAAGCCUCUAGAUAGAAAAUAGGUGCCCGUACCGCAAACCGACACAGGUAGUCAAGAUGAGAAUUCUAAGGUGAGCGAGCGAACUCUCGUUAAGGAACUCGGCAAAAUGACCCCGUAACUUCGGGAGAAGGGGUGCUCUUUAGGGUUAACGCCCAGAAGAGCCGCAGUGAAUAGGCCCAAGCGACUGUUUAUCAAAAACACAGGUCUCUGCUAAACCGUAAGGUGAUGUAUAGGGGCUGACGCCUGCCCGGUGCUGGAAGGUUAAGAGGAGUGGUUAGCUUCUGCGAAGCUACGAAUCGAAGCCCCAGUAAACGGCGGCCGUAACUAUAACGGUCCUAAGGUAGCGAAAUUCCUUGUCGGGUAAGUUCCGACCCGCACGAAAGGCGUAACGAUUUGGGCACUGUCUCAACGAGAGACUCGGUGAAAUCAUAGUACCUGUGAAGAUGCAGGUUACCCGCGACAGGACGGAAAGACCCCGUGGAGCUUUACUGUAGCCUGAUAUUGAAAUUCGGCACAGCUUGUACAGGAUAGGUAGGAGCCUUUGAAACGUGAGCGCUAGCUUACGUGGAGGCGCUGGUGGGAUACUACCCUAGCUGUGUUGGCUUUCUAACCCGCACCACUUAUCGUGGUGGGAGACAGUGUCAGGCGGGCAGUUUGACUGGGGCGGUCGCCUCCUAAAAGGUAACGGAGGCGCUCAAAGGUUCCCUCAGAAUGGUUGGAAAUCAUUCAUAGAGUGUAAAGGCAUAAGGGAGCUUGACUGCGAGACCUACAAGUCGAGCAGGGUCGAAAGACGGACUUAGUGAUCCGGUGGUUCCGCAUGGAAGGGCCAUCGCUCAACGGAUAAAAGCUACCCCGGGGAUAACAGGCUUAUCUCCCCCAAGAGUUCACAUCGACGGGGAGGUUUGGCACCUCGAUGUCGGCUCAUCGCAUCCUGGGGCUGUAGUCGGUCCCAAGGGUUGGGCUGUUCGCCCAUUAAAGCGGUACGCGAGCUGGGUUCAGAACGUCGUGAGACAGUUCGGUCCCUAUCCGUCGUGGGCGUAGGAAAUUUGAGAGGAGCUGUCCUUAGUACGAGAGGACCGGGAUGGACAUACCUCUGGUGUACCAGUUGUCGUGCCAACGGCAUAGCUGGGUAGCUAUGUGUGGACGGGAUAAGUGCUGAAAGCAUCUAAGCAUGAAGCCCCCCUCAAGAUGAGAUUUCCCAACUUCGGUUAUAAGAUCCCU
rnacentral:rRNA from 1 species